GCCGGGCGCGGUGGCUCACGCCUGUAAUCCCAGCACUUUGGGAGGCCGAGGUGGGUGGAUCACCUGAGGUCAGGAGUUUGAGACCAGCCUGACCAACAUGGAGAAACCCCAUCUCUA
rfam:Pan troglodytes isolate Yerkes chimp pedigree #C0471 (Clint) chromosome 22, whole genome shotgun sequence.